GGGUCUAUGGCUCAGCCAGGUAGAGCGAAGGACUCUUAAAAAAAACUUGGAGACAUCCUUAUGUCGUGGGUUCGAAUCCCACUAGACCCG
rnacentral:tRNA from 1 species